GGGCGAGUAGCUCAGUUGGUCUAGAGCAUCUGCCUUACAAGCAGAGGGUCGGGGGUUCGACUCCCUCCUCGCCCA
rfam:Ignavibacteria bacterium GWF2_33_9 gwf2_scaffold_1800, whole genome shotgun sequence.